rnacentral:rRNA from 1 species
GAAUUCGAUUCAGGCCUAACACAUGCAAGUCGAACGGCAGCACGGACUUCGGUCUGGUGGCGAGUGGCGAACGGGUGAGUAAUGCAUCGGAACGUGCCCAAUCGUGGGGGAUAACGUAGCGAAAGUUACGCUAAUACCGCAUACGAUCUAAGGAUGAAAGCGGGGGAUCGCAAGACCUCGCGCGAAUGGAGCGGCCGAUGUUAGAUUAGGUAGUUGGUGGGGUAAAGGCUCACCAAGCCGACGAUCUAUAGCUGGUCUGAGAGGAUGAUCAGCCACACUGGGACUGAGACACGGCCCAGACUCCUACGGGAGGCAGCAGUGGGGAAUUUUGGACAAUGGGCGCAAGCCUGAUCCAGCCAGUCCGCGUGCAGGAUGAAGGCCCUCGGGUUGUAAACUGCUUGGUACAGAACGAAAAGCUCUGGG